AUACGGAGGAUGCAAGCGUUAUCCGGAUUUAUUGGGUUUAAAGGGUGCGUAGGCGGAUGAUUAAGCGUGAGGUGAAAUGCCACUGCUCAACAGUGGAACUGCCUCGCGAACUGGUUGUCUUGAAUGCUCCUGCCGUGGGAGGAAUGCGUGGUGUAGCGGUGAAAUGCAUAGAGAUCACACAGAACACCGAUUGCGAAGGCAUCUCACGAAGGGGUGAUUGACGCUGAGGCACGAAAGCGUGGGGAUCAAACAGGAUUAGAUACCCUGGUAGUCCACGCAGUAAACGAUGAUAACUAACCGCUGGGUCGUAGUGAUUCAGUGGCCAAGCGAAAGCGAUAAGUUAUCCACCUGGGGAGUACGACCGCAAGGUUGAAACUCAAAUGAAUUGACGGGG
rnacentral:rRNA from 1 species